rnacentral:lncRNA from 1 species
AUGGACAAAUUAUUGAAAGAAGAAACUGGAUUAAAGAUGGUGGGAAAUAUCGACAAUGAAAAAGAUACAAUUAUAUUAAAUAAAAAAAAGGCAAAAUAUUAUUUUAACUUUUUUCAAACAUGUAAUAUAUCUUCAGAUGAAGAAUCAGACCUUGGAAUUAUAAAAAUUAACAGAUCAAACAAAUCGAAACAUAAAAAAAUAAGUAAUACAUCCUGGAGGAAUAUAUCAAAAAAAAAAAAAAAAAUCACUGAUAAUGGUUAUAAUGGUUAUACUAAUAAUAAUUAUAACAACGAUAACAACAAUAACAAUAAUAACAAUAAUAAUAACAAUAAUAAUAAUAAUAAUAAUAAUAAUAACAACAAUAACAAUAAUAACAAUAAUAAUAACAAUAAUAAUAAUAAUAAUAAUAACAAUAAUAACAAUAAUAACAAUAAUAAUAAUAAUAAUAAUAAUAAUAAUAAUAAUAAUAACAAUAAUAACAAUAAUAACAAUAAUAAUAAUAAUAAUAAUAAUAAUAAUAACAAUAAUAACAAUAAUAACAAUAAUAACAACGAUAACAAUAAUAACAAUAAUAACAACGAUAACAAUAAUAACAAUAAUAAUAAUAACAAUAAUAAUAAUAACAAUAAUAAUAAUAACAAUAAUAAUAAUAAUAAUAAUAAUUAUAUCAAUGAAAAAUGUAUAAAUAUUGAAAGCGAACUAAUGAACACUUCCGAAUAUAUACUAUCAACACAGAUGAACGUAGCCGAUCUUAAUAAUUUAUAUUUUAAAUAUAAAAGGGUUACAAAUUAUUGUAACAUUUAUAGUGAUAAUGAUUUUUUUGUAGAAUCUAAUAGUGACAGUGGAAAAAGUGAGAACAAUGGGAAAAGUAAAGGAGUUAGUAGUGGUGACAGUAGUGAUGACAGUAGUGGUGAUAGUAGUGGUGAUAGUAGUAGUCACGAAAUGAAAGCACAUAUAAAUUCAAAAAACAACGAAACAUAUAUAACAAGUAAUAAUAACUUAAAUAAAAAAAAAAAAUUUGACAUAUUCAGAAAAAAAUAA